AUUGAACGCUGGCGGAAUGCUUUACACAUGCAAGUCGAGCGGCAGCGCGGCCUUCGGGCUGGCGGCGAGCGGCGAACGGGUGAGUAAUGCAUCGGAACAUGCCCAGUCGUGGGGGAUAACACUUCGAAAGAAGUGCUAAUACCGCAUACGUCCUGAGGGGGAAAGCGGGGGAUCGCAAGACCUCGCGCGAUUGGAGUGGCCGAUGUCAGAUUAGCUAGUUGGUGGGGUAAAGGCCUACCAAGGCGACGAUCUGUAGCUGGUCUGAGAGGAUGAUCAGCCACACUGGGACUGAGACACGGCCCAGACUCCUACGGGAGGCAGCAGUGGGGAAUUUUGGACAAUGGGGGCAACCCUGAUCCAGCCAUUCCGCGUGAGUGAAGAAGGCCUUCGGGUUGUAAAGCUCUUUCGGCAGGGACGAAACGGUGGGCUCUAACAUAGUCCGCUAAUGACGGUACCUGAAGAAGAAGCACCGGCUAACUACGUG
rnacentral:rRNA from 1 species